rnacentral:rRNA from 1 species
GUGGGGAAUCUUCCGCAAUGGACGAAAGUCUGACGGAGCAACGCCGCGUGAGUGAUGACGGCCUUCGGGUUGUAAAGCUCUGUGAUCGGGGACGAAUGGCUGGUGUGCUAAUACCACAUCAGAGUGACGGUACCCGAAUAGCAAGCCACGGCUAACUACGUGCCAGCAGCCGCGGUAAUACGUAGGUGGCAAGCGUUGUCCGGAAUUAUUGGGCGUAAAGCGCGCGCAGGCGGCUUCUUAAGUCCAUCUUAAAAGUGCGGGGCUUAACCCCGUGAUGGGAUGGAAACUGGGAGGCUGGAGUAUCGGAGAGGAAAGUGGAAUUCCUAGUGUAGCGGUGAAAUGCGUAGAGAUUAGGAAGAACACCGGUGGCGAAGGCGACUUUCUGGACGACAACUGACGCUGAGGCGCGAAAGCGUGGGGAGCAAACAGGAUUAGAAACCCCAGUAGUCC